rnacentral:rRNA from 1 species
GAUGAACGCUGGCGGCGUGCCUAAUACAUGCAAGUCGAGCGAACAGAUGAGGAGCUUGCUCCUCUGACGUUAGCGGCGGACGGGUGAGUAACACGUGGAUAACCUACUUAUAAGACUGGGAUAACUUCGGGAAACCGGAGCUAAUACCGGAUAAUAUAUUGAACCGCAUGGUUCAAUAGUGAAAGACGGCUUUGCUGUCACUUAUAGAUGGAUCCGCGCCGCAUUAGCUAGUUGGUAAGGUAACGGCUUAACAAGGCAACGAUGCGUAGCCGACCUGAGAGGAUGAUCGGCCACACUGGAACUGAGACACGGUCCAGACUCCUACGGGAGGCAGCAGUGGGGAAUCUUCCGCAAUGGGCGAAAGCCUGACGGAGCAACGCCGCGUGAGUGAUGAAGGUCUUCGGGUCGUAAAACUCUGUUAUUAGGGAAGAACAAAUGUGUAAGUAACUAUGCACGUCUUGACGGUACCUAAUCAGAAAGCCACGGCUAACUACGUG